rfam:Myotis lucifugus cont2.29004, whole genome shotgun sequence.
GGCGGUUCUUGGGUGUAGUACCCUGGAAUUGGGCUUUCUCCUCUCUGGUUCCAGGUGCGUCACCCGAGAACUGCA